GUAUUCCUCCCUUAUGGCAGAUGCCAAUUCCUUCAAUUGUUUAAGCCUCUUGGGAGAGGCGGCUGGGGCCCUGGGGCCCAGCCAGUCACCCUGCGCGGAUGGUCUGGGAGAAACGGGAAAGAAAGGCAGGCCGCGCCAGGCUGACCCCAGCUGCAUUUGGUCUGUUUCCCAUUGGGAGAGACUCGUUAGUAAACAGCCUUCCUAAUAGUUACCGUCCUUAAUUUCUCCUCAAAUAUUGGCAGGGGAAAGCCCUGCGGAAGAAAAACGAGCCUUGAAAGAUUAGUCACUGACACGAGGUGCAGUCACGCUCCCAGCCAAGCCGGGCUGCCUUCUCCGGGGCUGCUCUACCCGUUUCUUGCCCAAAUUCCCAUCAAUAACUCACUAACAAUAACAAAUGGCUACACGGCACCCGCACCGUGCCGUGGGAACGCAGCACUUGAUGCAGCAAGUUCCAUUCCUCGCAUUUCCGUCACCGUUUCUAUUUCAUGGGGUCCACAGAUGCUGCAGGAGGACCCAGCUUCUGCUGGGCACACGUUCAAACAGACAGCAACAUGUGGGCAGUGCUGAGAACUGUAUCGGGCACACAGGAAACACCAAACACAGAUCAGUCUUCUUGAGAUGAUGCGUGACAUUGGAUACAAUUGGUUCAUUCCAAGAUGACGAUAACAGCGAAAAACCAGCAGGCUGGAUUCUUCAGGAAGCCACAAGCCAAGUGGGAAGGCAAGUUUGGGAAAUAUUCCCUCAUUUAAAAGAAAAGACAUCACAAAUGAAAAUAAUACAAGUUUAAAAGAACAGAGACCUACAUCACAGGAGCAGGGAACUCGAGCCAGCUCUAGGGAGUGGGGUGGGCGACCCUGCAGGAAAUGAAGGUGAAAUCGGGCUUUUUCACACAAAUUGGAAAACAAAUUCUGCCAUUUCUGCAGGGGCAAAGGUCUGCCUGGGCCACAGGAAAGGGAGGCAGAUGAACAACUAUAAACAUCUAGGUGGAGGUUUUGAAUUCCAAGAUAAAAAGAUUUUCCAAGCAUAAGGGAAAACAGAAGGAAGUCGGGCCAGCCUGAGAUCUGCCCAACACAGCAAACACAGGAGCAGCAGGAGUGGGGCCGGGGCUGGAGACCGGGGGCUUCUGAUGGGACCAGAGGGGACUCCUCCCGCAUGGAAGGGCUGGGCUGUGAUGCAGACACAUCCUCAUGCUUCCAAAAUGAGCUCUACACAAGACGGAAGGCUGCGGGUGCUGUCCUUUAAGGGAAUGUGGAGUAAGAGUGAAGGCGAAAUUAUUACCUGUAAUAGAGUUUCACAAAGUGCAAUUUAAAAAAAUCUUACUCUCAUUCUCAGUCUCAUACCCCCAUUUUUUUUUAUACUGAGAAGUGAAGGCCAGAGAAGAGGAGCAGAAGUUUCCUAAAUUUCUCCUGCGUCAGAAGGAAGUAGUGGCCCAGAUCCCUCUUGUCACAGGAAGUAGGAAGAAUGUGGUUCUUUUUAAAAAUGUAAAAUCCGCUUCUUAGGACAAGAGCAAGGAAUAAACUGCAAAUUCAUCAGACA
rnacentral:lncRNA from 1 species